rnacentral:rRNA from 1 species
CCUACGGGAGGCAGCAGUGGGGAAUUUUGGACAAUGGGGGCAACCCUGAUCCAGCAAUGCCGCGUGAGUGAAGAAGGCCCUCGGGUUGUAAAGCUCUUUUGUCAGGGAAGAAACGGUGGUUCCUAAUACGAGCUGCUAAUGACGGUACCUGAAGAAUAAGCACCGGCUAACUACGUGCCAGCAGCCGCGGUAAUACGUAGGGUGCAAGCGUUAAUCGGAAUUACUGGGCGUAAAGCGUGCGCAGGCGGUUAUAUAAGACAGAGGUGAAAUCCCCGGGCUCAACCUGGGAACUGCCUUUGUGACUGUAUGGCUAGAGUGUGUCAGAGGGGGGUAGAAUUCCACGUGUAGCAGUGAAAUGCGUAGAUAUGUGGAGGAAUACCGAUGGCGAAGGCAGCCCCCUGGGAUAACACUGACGCUCAUGCACGAAAGCGUGGGGAGCAAACAGGAUUAGAUACCCUGGUAGUCCACGCCCUAAACGAUGUCUACUAGUUGUCGGGACUUAAUUGUCUUGGUAACGCAGCUAACGCGUGAAGUAGACCGCCUGGGGAUACGGUCGCAAGNUUAAAACUCAAAGGAAUUGACGGCNGAGACGNGCGAGACGACGACGAGGAGAGG